rnacentral:tRNA from 5 species
GGGCCUAUAGCUCAGUUGGUAGAGCAGCGGACUUUUAAUCCGUGGGUCGGGGGUUCGAGCCCCCCUGGGCCUACUA